rnacentral:rRNA from 1 species
UACGUAGGGUGCAAGCGUUAAUCGGAAUUACUGGGCGUAAAGCGUGCGCAGGCGGUUUUGUAAGUCUGUCGUGAAAUCCCCGGGCUCAACCUGGGAAUUGCGAUGGAGACUGCAAGGCUAGAAUCUGGCAGAGGGGGGUAGAAUUCCACGUGUAGCAGUGAAAUGCGUAGAGAUGUGGAGGAACACCGAUGGCGAAGGCAGCCCCCUGGGUCAAGAUUGACGCUCAUGCACGAAAG